GCAGUGGAAUUUCAAUGACAGAAUUCUCAUCUUCCAUACGGGAGACCCGGGUUCAAUUCCUGGUCAAUGCU
rnacentral:tRNA from 1 species